CAGCUAAUCAAUCGAGUGACCUUUGUUUCAAUUCACACUUGCACUGCGCCUCAGAUCAGCAGUUGAUGUUCAGUUUGCGGCUUAGUUAGUUAGUCAGUUAGUCAGCCAGUUAGUUAGCUAGUUAGUUAGCUAGUUGAGAUCGGUGGCCAGUGAUCGAAAGUGGCAAAAUGUCACAGAUGCUGCAGCUGGAUGCCUUGGUCAUGGCCAUGGCCUGUCUAUCCACCACACAGACGGAUCUGGGCGGAGGACUGAUGGUUCCGCCCUCCUUGGAAAAUGCGAGUUCCAGCAGCUGUCCGGUUUCGGCUUUAAGUGGUCUUACCACGCGGAUGCAGUCGCUCAACAACGAAAUAGCCAGUGUGAAGGAGCAGAUAGGCAGUCUGCAGGAGCAGUUGGUGGAUCUGCGAAGAGCGGGAAGUGCGCCAGUGGUGGGACUCGCUUCACCCAAUGCCCUGGCAUCUCGAUUCCUGGACAUUGAGCCACAACUGCUGGCCAACGGUGGUGCAGUGACCGCACCAACCACUCCGGCAAACUGCCUGAAACAGCAGCACGGAGUGGUGCGAAUCCGACCGCGCUCGAAUGUGGAGCCCUUCUUUGUGUUCUGCGAUCAGAAGGUGAGGAACGGCGGUUGGACCAUGGUGGUUAAUCGGUACGAUGGCAGCGAGGACUUCAAUCGCAAGUGGGCGGACUACCAGAUAGGUUUCGGACCACUGACCACCGAGUUCUUCAUCGGACUGGACAAGUUGCAUCAGAUUACCAGCAGCGACAACUACGAGCUGUUGGUGCAGCUGCAGAAUCGCAAGCAGGAGCUUAGAUAUGGCAUUUACGAUCACUUCAGCAUCGGCAGUGAAUCGGAGCAGUAUCGUCUGAAUGUCCUGGGAAACUUCCAAGGCGAUGCCGCGGAUGCACUGAGUGAGCACACGGGAAAGAAAUUCAGUACCCACGAUCGGGACAACGAUGAAAGUGAGCAAAACUGCGCGGUUCAGCAGUCGGGUGCCUUUUGGUAUGGCGCCUCUUGCAAUCUUAGCAACCCCUUUGGGCUAUACCAACGGCUUCUCGAGCGGGAUGUUGAUGGUUUUAAGGGCAUUCUGUGGCGCGGUUUCUUGGAUGGACCCAAAGGUUCGCUGAAAAUAGUUCGCAUGAUGGUUCGACCACGCGCCAUUUCAUAAAUAAGUAACUUUAUUGGCUACACCAGUCACAUUUUAUCAAAACACCCAACAGACUUCGUUGAGCUUGUCAGUCUCUUCGGUGGUUGUGGUGGUGCGAACGGUGGUGGUUGUGGUGGGAUCCUCAGAUCCUUUGACCACCAGGGCAUCUCCGAAAACUGGCUUGAAGAAGAGCACAAAGCGGGAGUAGCGACGAGCGGAGUUCUGUAAAUAUAUAAAGCAUAUUAUAAACAUUUCUUAGAAUAAUCUAGAAUAAUAUAUAUGUAUGUUGAUUAAAAAUACAUUUAUGACCAGCCUGUAAAGCCAUACUAGAA